AUUUCAAAAUUUCAAAAUAAUAUAACCAUAGAUAGUAUAACCAUAGAUAACCAUAGAUAACAUAAACCAUAGAAUAGACACUUUCAAAGAUGUCGGGUGACAGAAUUUACAGAAAUAUAACCUUAGCCCUAACCCUAAUGUGUCAAACAAGGAAUGUCAGCAAGAAACCAGAACAGUGUAAGAAGACUCAUUAAGAAAACGAACAAGAACAAGAUUACCAAUUAAGGAAGCCUGAUAGUCAACUCAGAAAAGGAAACAGGCAAGAAAAGCACACUUUCCCCCUGUUAUGAAAGAACUACACAAUACCAAUACCAGACAGGGACAUCAUGAAUUAAUUGAAUUAAAGAAUAA